AUGUUGGCAAUCUGUUUUUAAGUUGGAAUAAAUUUCUCUAAAAGAAAUCAAUCCUAAGUAGCUUUUCUUUCAAGUUAAGUGUCUUGU
rnacentral:pre_miRNA from 1 species